UCCGCUUUUACUGACUAACGCCGUUGGAGAUGAGACAACAAUUCCAGUGAGAAAAACACCAAGGACAGCAAGAAUCGCAAGCUGUGAACGGUGUAGUAUGCCUGAAGCCAAGCUGCGUCAAUGCCGCACGCUUUGUAUAUCAAGCCUUCGUCACCGCUCAGGGAGAUUUGUCCACCGCAGCUUUGACAGAGAGAGCAAGAAAUGGCGUCGAAGGCGUGGUCACUCUAUUCUACGUGGAUUCUCUUAGCGGUUAUCGUCGCCAUGAGCACUGUUGGUGCAGAAGGGUCCAAGUUGCGUAGUCGAUCAUUACGGCCGAAAUGUAAACAGGGAGAAUGGUCAGGAUGUGUGAAACCUCCCGGUGAUCCGUGCGGCGAGGACACAUGCAACGUGGAAAAGAGCGGUGAUUUGUGCACUUAUGAAUGUCUAAUGGGCUGCGUGUGUAAAAAAGGCCUGUAUCGUCGCUUGUCCGACAGGAAGUGCGUUCCCCAAAGUGAAUGCAAUGCCUAAUCUCGCCGACAAUGACGUCAUGCGGAUACGGCGCUGUAAUAAACGACAGUAGCUGCAUUUUCGAGAUUUUGCCCGAUGCCUUAUGAUUCCAGAGCCACGAUCUUGAAGAAGUCACGUCGAAGGGACAGUUUGGCUCUCAUCUGAGCGUUCUAAAACACGAAAAAAAGAAACUAAUAAAACAUUCUCUUCAUUA